UGUUUAUUGAAUCUUAAUAAACAAGAUGGCAGCCUCCACAACCUUCAGAUGUAGCUCUUUGAGCUCAGCAUGUCGUUUGUUAUUUCAAAAGCAAACAGCAGGUUAUAGACAGCUUAGGUUUUUGUCCAGUUCCUCCCAAGAUAACAGCGCCAGCGAUGCUGUGAGUGCUGCUCCUGAAAAUGAAGAGAGGGACCCGUUUCCUGUGUUCGUCCAGCCGAGAGUGCAAGAACUACUGACCAGAAUCACAGGCUUUGACCUCAUGAAGGUCGCUGGGCCCCAGAAGAAACCGUUACAGCGACCGAUAUACAAAUUGAUGACUGAUGAGCAACUCAAUGCCGAACUUAGCUCAGCGAAAGAGAGGCUACAGCACAGAUUACAGAUGCCCCCGUACAUGAAGCCACGUCGACCUCACUUGACCCCCCUGUCUGUUGAUCCUGAGCUGGCUGGCUUUGACAAGAGCAAUUAUGUCUUUGUAGACAUAUCUUUUGGUGUCAAAGAUAGGAAGCGAUCAGUUGUGAUACGAGAGGUGGACGGGACCUUGAGAGUGGCUCCCUGGGAUGUGAAGGAGCGGAUGAACCAGAUAUACAACCCUCGCGAAGGAAGGCACGUGGUGAAACCCAGCAUGUUUGAAGAGGCAAACCUAGAGCGCAUGAUCUCGGAGAAGAGAUACCAGUACGUCUUAGACAGAGCCUGUUGUCAGUUCGAGCCAGACGAUCCAGACUUCAUCAGGACCACUCACCGUGUGUACAAUGCUGUAGAUCAGUGUGGAGACUACGAGCAUUUGAGGUCGACGCGCCACUUUGGCCCGCUGGCCUUUUACCUGGCGUGGCACUCGUCGAUUGACGGCCUGCUGGUGGACAUGCUCGACAGAGACAAAGCGCAGGAUGCCAGAGACUUGGUGGUCCUGUUUGCAGACGUGCACCCAGACAGCUCAUGCGCAGCUGCCAUCUCGGAACUACCUCAGCAAGACGAUGAUGUUGCAGUGAUAAAGACAUAUUUGGCUACUGACUGCAAGAACAAGGACAAAGUGGAACUCUCGCUACGGGCCAUGGUCGACUCACAGAGGUCAAAGGGGAAGACACAGAACUCUUCCCUGUGAUGAAUGAAUGAAUGGAUGGAUGAGGAUGAUGAUGUGUUGGAUACGAAUGGUGUGAUUUAUGGAGAGGAUAACAUGCAAAGGAAUUUGAAAUUUAAAUAUUAAAUAUGAAUGUCCAGUGUUAUAUUGCAUGAUGUUUUCUAUGAUUUGUUUUUAGCUUGAAAGUAAUAAAUGGACAUGAACUUCUGAA